UACAGAGGUCUCAAGCGUUGUUCGGAUUCAUUGGGCGUAAAGGGUGCGUAGGCGGCGCGGUAAGUCGGGUGUGAAAUCUCGGAGCUUAACUCCGAAACUGCAUUCGAUACUGCCGUGCUUGAGGACUGGAGAGGAGACUGGAAUUUACGGUGUAGCGGUGAAAUGCGUAGAUAUCUGAAGGAACAUCAGUGGCGAAAGCGACUUCCUGGACCAAUACUGACGCUCAUGUGCGAAAGCGUGGGGAGCAAACAGG
rnacentral:rRNA from 1 species